GAAUGACAGCCGAGAAUGACAGAGAAAAUGAAGAUGGCGAAGACGGAUAAGGCGUAAAAAAUGUGUAAAAAACCUGAGAGAUGUACUCGAUUUGAGUGCAAAGCAGAUAAAAUAGAAGGAAUAAUAUGGGAGCUGGUGACCUUUUAAAAUCAUGAAGGUCAUGAAUUCAUCUGACUACAAGGCAAAAAGAAGAAAAUCAGAACGUAGGGACAUUUCGUACCUAAUAUGACACAGGAGUACGCCUAACAAUUAGGCUAUUGAUACAUUUUGCCGAUUCAAUUUUUAAUAUGUGAUGUUAUUCCCUCAUCGAACGUUUGAGAUGGUAUGGACAUGUGAUGAGACGAAAUGAAAAUGAGGUUGGUAAGAGUGUUAACUAUGAAUGUGGAAGGAUAUAGAGGAAGAGGUAGACCUAAGAAGAAAUGGAUGGAUUGCGUGAAAGACGAUAUGGGUAAGAGGGGAGUGAGCGAAGAAAUGGUCUAUGAUAGAAGAGUAUGGAAGGAGAAAACAUGUUGCGCCGACCCCAGGUGACUGGGAGAAGGGCAGGAUAAUGAUGAUUCCCUCAUCGAACAUUAGUCGAUUAUGAAAAACCUUUUCUGCUGCAUUAAACAUAAUAAAUUGUUCAAGAAAAUAAAAUAGACCAACAGCUUACGGAAGGCCACAUUCCCUCGGAAUAAACGAGAGUAUUGAAAUCAACAUAGCCCCGAAUGUAGUUUAUUUUCGUAUCCCGAAUUAAUAAUGAACGAGGAAGAAAUUCAGUUUGAAUUUACAAUGUUGCCACAUUCAAGUAUUUUAAAAUAUAAUGUACUUUCUUAAUGUUAUUUAAGGCGGAAGAUGCGACAAGGACGUAUUCUGUUUCCUUAUGUUCAAAGAUAAAUAGUUGUGAAUUAAUCGAUAAUUCGACGAACAAA